AGCAGUCGCCACGGGAAUACGGAGGGUGCAAGCGUUAAUCGGAAUUACUGGGCGUAAAGCGCACGCAGGCGGUCUGUCAAGUCAGAUGUGAAAUCCCCGGGCUUAACCUGGGAACUGCAUUUGAAACUGGCAGGCUAGAGUCUUGUAGAGGGGGGUAGAAUUCCAGGUGUAGCGGUGAAAUGCGUAGAGAUCUGGAGGAAUACCGGUGGCGAAGGCGGCCCCCUGGACAAAGACUGACGCUCAGGUGCGAAAGCGUGGGGAGCAAACAGGAUUAGAUACCCGCGUAGUCCCUGUCUCUUAUAC
rnacentral:rRNA from 1 species